AACGUAGGUGGCAAGCGUUAUCCGGAAUUACUGGGCGUAAAGGGUGUGCAGGCGGGGAAGCAAGGGGUGUAUGAAAUAUCCCAGCUUAACUGGGAGGGGUUAUGCCAGACUGCUUUUCUAGAGGACGAGAGAGGGGGGUGGAAUUCCGGGUGUAGUGGUGAAAUGCGUAGAGAUCCGGAGGAACCCCAGAGGCGAAGGCGGCCCCCUGGCUCGUACCUGACGCUCAGCCACGAAAGCAUGGGGAGCGAACGGG
rnacentral:rRNA from 1 species